AGAGUUUGAUCCUGGCUCAGGAUGAACGCUGGCGGCAGGCUUAAUACAUGCAAGUCGAACGGUAACAGUACUAGCAAUAGUAGCUGACGAGUGGCGCACGGGUGCGUAACGCGUAUGCAACCUACCCAUAAUUGGAACAUAACGUUGAGAAAUUAGCGCUAAUAUUCCAUGUGAAUAUAAAAAGACAUCUUAUUAUAUUUAAAGGUUUAUUGAUUAUGGAUGGGCAUGCGUAUCAUUAGCUAGUUGGUGAGGUAACGGCUCACCAAGGCGACGAUGAUUAGGGGUUCUGAGAGGAUUUCCCCCCACACUGGAACUGAAACACGGUCCGUACACCUACGGGUGGCAGCAGUAGGGAAUAUUAGAAAUGGACGAAAGUCUGAUCUAGCAACACCGCGUGUGCGAAGAAGGCCUUCGGGUCGUAAAGCACUUUUUGGAAGGAAUAGGAAGGAAUGUACUUCCAGAAUAAGUCUCGGCUAACUACGUGCCAGCAGCCGCGGUAAUA
rnacentral:rRNA from 1 species